GAAUAGACCAGAUAAAUAUCAGUCAGUGAUGGUCUUCAAUAACGUAAAGUAUAUAUAAUUUUAAACAGAGAAGGGUUUUCAAAAGUGUAAAGGCACGCAGUUUACUUUGUUUUUUCACUUUCGUGACAAUUUAAUUUUUGAAAUAUGGUCAACUCUAUCUUCAUCCUUGUUCUUAUAAAUUUGAGCAUCGUUAUUUUGGUUGGAUGUGAAGAUGAAAAGAUUGAAAACACGGAGACGGCCGAAACGUGGAAAUACGUACUGGAGUUGGAAAGAUUAGAAGGAAUUAGUAGGCCUAGGAAGUCGUGUUUUUUGUACGAACGACUUCUUCCUUCACUCACCCCUCCAAUAGUAACCUGUGAGCCAACACGAAGACAGCCCUUGAAGAAAGUGAUUAAAACACCGAAAAAAAAUGAGCCAUUACGAAAACAGCCCACGAACGUGAUUACAACACCGAGAAACAGUGAGCCAUUACAAAAACAGCCUACGAACGUGAUUAAAAAUUCGAAAAACAAUGAGCCAUUGAGAAAACAGCCUACGAACGUGAUUACAACACCGAGAAACAAUGAGCCAUUGAGAAAACAGCCUACGAACGUGAUUAAAAAUUCGAAAAACAAAAGAUGGUUUUUUUGGUAAAAUAUACUUCGCAAAAUGUUUUCAAAGAGACAAAAAAAUUAUUACAAACUGAAGAUAAUGGGAAUUGAUCAAAUAUUACCAAAAUGCAAUACGUCUCAAAGUUACUUAUUUGCCAAUUUCUCAAACAGCAAAAAUUUUUGAAAAAUACUAAAAAAUUUACCGAAUGUCACAAAAAAAUUUUUACCCAGAAGUAGAUUGAAAAUCAUAAAACUGGAAAAUUGGCAUGAAAAUCACGGAAGUAAUGACAUUUUAGUGAAAUUACCCAAAAUGAAGCGAAAAAUUGCACAAAAUAUUGUAAAAACCUGUUCAAGUAACAUAAAAAUUGUUGAAAGCAUAUUUGAUUCAGUAAUUUGAGCCAAAAAUCGACAAAACCACUGUAAGAGUCAUGAUUUUUAUACUAUCUAACAUUGUUUUCUAAAAAUAACCCCAAAUAGACAUAAGCAGUGAGAUAACCGCUUUACAAGUCAUGAUUCUCCGUUUAGCUAAGGUUGUAUUACAAAAAUUACCUCAACUAGAUAGAGGUACUUGAGAAUUUAUAAAACCGCUUUAGACGUUAUGAUGCUUCAAACAGCUAACGUUGUUCUCCAAAAAGUACCUAAAGCCGGUAUGAAUUCAAAAAACCACCUUAAAGUUUAUGAUUCUUCAUCUGGCUAACGUUGUUUUCCAAAAACCACUACAAAUAUAUACAGGUACUUGAGAAUUAAAUAAACUAUGUACCUUAGAAGUUAUUAAGAUUCUCUGUAUAAAUAGCUAACUUUUUUUCAAAAAUUACCUAAAACAGAUACAAAUAUUUAAAAAACCGCGUUAGAGUUGAUAAUUUUGCAUCUGGCUAACGUUGUUUUUAAAAACCACCUCAAGUAGGUGCACAUGAGUAUUCAAAAAACCACAUUAGAAGUUAUGAUGAUCUGUACAGCUAACGUUGUUUUUCAAAAACUACCUAUGACAGGUGCGAAUAUUUAUAAAAAACCACCUUAGAGUUCAUGAUUCUUCAUCUGGCUAACGUUGUUGUUAAAAACCACCUCAAGUAGGUGCACAUGAGUAUUCAAAAAACCACCUUAGAAGUUAUGAUGGUCUGUACAGCUAACGUUGUUUUUCAAAAACUACCUAUGACAGGUGCGAAUAUUUAAAAAACCACCUUAUGAUUCUUCAUCUGGCUAACGUUGUUUUUAAAAACCACCUCAAGUAGGUGCACAUGAGUAUUCAAAAAACCACCUCAGAAGUUAUGAUGAUCUGUACAUGCUAACGUUGUUUUUCAAAAACUACCUAUGACAGGUACGAAUAUUUGAAAACCCACCUUAGAGUUCAUGAUUCUUCAUCUGGCUAACGUUGUUUUUCAAAAAUUAAAAUUACUCCAAAUGAAUGGAUAUGAAAAAAUGUAUACAAAAAUUGCACUAAUUGUCCCUCCCCCUCCUCUCUUUCUAUGGCCCAGGAUUAGACAUAGAUUUAAGAUGGUAUAAAAUAAGAUUAUUUUUUUAAAACUUUGUACAAAAAAUGAAUUUCUAAUAAAAAUAAUUUUAAAUGA